UUAAGUAAGGAAGGGCGUACGGCGAAUGCCUUGCCACUCGAAACUGAAGAAGGACGCGCCAAACUGCGAAAAGCUCCGUGAAGCUGUAAGGAAGCGAAGAAGCGGAGGUGUCCGAAUGGGGGAACCCGGCAGCAGACAUGAGCUGUCAUCUGCAGGUGAAUACAUGGCCUGCAAGAGAGGUACCCGGCGAACUGAAACAUCUAAGUAGCCGGAGGAAAAGAAAACAACAGUGAUUCCCUGAGUAGCGGCGAGCGAAAGGGGAGAAGCCCAAACCGGUUGAAGGACCGGGGUUGAAGGACCAUGACAUGGCAAGAACGAGGAUAGGAGAACGGGAUCGAAAGCCCGGCCGAAGAAGGUGCAAGCCCUGUAACCGAAAUCCGAGUAAAGCCUAAUGGGAUCCUGAGUACGGCGAGACACGAGAAAUCUUGUCGGAAGCAGGCGGGACCAUCCGCCAAGGCUAAAUAUAAACGAGUGAGCGAUAGUGAACCAGUACCGUGAGGGAAAGGUGAAAAGAACCGCGGGAGCGGAGUGAAAGAGAACCUGAAACCGUAUGCCUACAAGAAGUCAGAGCCCGUUAAGGGGUGAUGGCGUGCCUUUUGUAGAAUGAACCGGCGAGUUGCGACAGACUGCGAGGUUAAGGAGGAAAGACCGGAGCCGAAGCGAAAGCGAGUCUUAAGAGGGCGAAAGUAGGAUGUUGCAGACCCGAAACCGGGUGAUCUAGCCAUGAGCAGGUUGAAGUUGAGGUGAAACUCAAUGGAGGACCGAACCGACUACCGUUGAAAAGUUAGCGGAUGACUUGUGGCUAGGGGAGAAAUUCCAAUCGAACCCGGAGAUAGCUGGUUCUCCCCGAAAUAGCUUUAGGGCUAGCGUCGGAAAGAACCUUAGUGAAGGUAGAGCACUGAAUGUGUGAUGGCCCCAUCCCGGGGUACUGAAUACAAUCAAACUGCGAAUGUCAUUAAGGAUGUCCGGCAGUCAGACUGUGAGUGAUAAGGUCCAUGGUCAAGAGGGAAACAGCCCAGACCGCCAGUUAAGGUCCCAAAAUACAGGCUAAGUGGAAAAGGAUGUGGGGAUGCCCAGACAACUAGGAGGUUGGCUCAGAAGCAGCCAUCCUUUAAAGAGUGCGUAACAGCUCACUAGUCGAGUGACCCUGCGCCGAAAAUGUACCGGGGCUAAGCCUGAUACCGAAACUGCGGAUUGUAGGAAACUAUAGUGGUAGGGGAGCGUUGUAUACGAGUAGAAGCCGUACCGUGAGGAGCGGUGGAUUGUAUAGAAGUGAGAAUGCCGGUGUGAGUAGCGAGAUGUAGGUGAGAAUCCUACACACCGAAAGCCCAAGGAUUCCAGGGGAAGGUUCGUCCGCCCUGGGUAAGUCGGGACCUAACGCGAGGCCGAAAGGCGUAGUGGAUGGAAAGCAGGCGAAAGAUUCCUGCACCCGUAUAUGGAGCGAAGGAGUGACGGAGACGGAUAGUGUGACCCUCUUAAUGGAUUGAGGGCGAAGCGAAGCGGCUGGUUACCAGGCAAAUCCGGUAACCAUAAGGCUAGAGCGUGACAGGUAAGCGAAAUCUUAGGAAAGUAGCGAAGCACAUGAUGACGGCUUCCAGGAAAAGCUUCUGGCAAUGCAUAUGCGGCCCGUACCAAAACCGACACAGGUAGGCGGGUAGAGCAUACCAAGGCGAUCGGGAGAACCAUGGUCAAGGAACUCGGCACAAUGGCCCCGUAACUUCGGGAGAAGGGGUGCCCGCGCGUACGUGAACCGGCUUGCCCGGGGAGCGGAGGCGGGCCGCAGUGGAGAGGCCCAAGCGACUGUUUACCAAAAACACAGGACUCUGCAGAAGCCGCAAGGCGACGUAUAGGGUCUGACGCCUGCCCGGUGCCGGAAGGUCACGCGGAGGAGUUAGCCGCAAGGCGAAGCCCCGAAGCCAAGCCCCGGUAAACGGCGGCCGUAACUAUAACGGUCCUAAGGUAGCGAAAUUCCUUGUCGGGUAAGUUCCGACCUGCACGAAAGGCGCAACGACUUGGGCGCUGUCUCGACCAUGGACCCGGUGAAAUUGCACUGGUCGUGAAGAUGCGACUUACCCGCGGAAGGACGGAAAGACCCCGUGAACCUUCACUGCAGCUUGGCAUUGGCCGCUGGUCCCGCGUGUAGAGGAUAGGCAGGAGGCAUCGAUCCGGAGGCGCCAGCCCCCGGGGAGCCGCCCUUGGAAUACUGCCCUCGCGCGACCGGCGUCCUAACCCGAGGCCGUCAACCGGCUCGGGGACCGUGCCAGGCGGGCAGUUUGACUGGGGCGGUCGCCUCCUAAAGGGUAACGGAGGCGCGCGAAGGUCCGCUCGGGACGGUCGGCAACCGUCCUUUUGAAUGCAAGAGUACAAGCGGGCUUGACUGCGAGGCCCACAAGCCGAGCAGGUGCGAAAGCAGGCUCUAGUGAUCCGGCGGCCCCGAGUGGGUGGGCCGUCGCUCAACGGAUAAAAGGUACUCCGGGGAUAACAGGCUGAUCUUGCCCAAGAGUCCACAUCGACGGCAAGGUUUGGCACCUCGAUGUCGGCUCAUCGCAUCCUGGGGCUGUAGCAGGUCCCAAGGGUUGGGCUGUUCGCCCAUUAAAGCGGUACGCGAGCUGGGUUCAGAACGUCGUGAGACAGUUCGGUCCCUAUCUGUCGUGGGCGCAGGAUAUUUGAGGAGCUCUGUCCUUAGUACGAGAGGACCGGGAUGGACGUACCUCUGGUGCACCAGUUGUCAUGCCAAUGGCACGGCUGGGCAGCUACGUACGGAACGGAUAAACGCUGAAAGCAUCUAAGCGUGAAGCCGACUCCAAGAUUAGAUAUCCCAUUGCAUAAGCAAGUAAGACCCCUUGAGGACUACGAGGUUGAUAGGCUGCGUGUGUAAGUGUCGUGAGGCAUUUAGCUUGGCAGUACUAAUAGGUCGAGGGCUUGACCAC
rnacentral:rRNA from 1 species